AACGAACGCUGGCGGCAGGCUUAACACAUGCAAGUCGAACGGGUGUAGCAAUACAUCAGUGGCAGACGGGUGAGUAACACGUGGGAACCUUCCUAGGGGUACGGAACAACUCAGGGAAACUUGAGCUAAUACCGUAUACGUCCGUGAGGAGAAAGAUUUAUCGCCCUUAGACGGGCCCGCGUCGGAUUAGCUAGUUGGUGGGGUAACGGCCUACCAAGGCGACGAUCCGUAGCUGAUCUUAGAGGAUGAUCAGCCACACUGGGACUGAGACACGGCCCAGACUCCUACGGGAGGCAGCAGUGGGGAAUCUUGGACAAUGGGCGCAAGCCUGAUCCAGCCAUGCCGCGUGAGUGAAGAAGGUCUUCGGAUUGUAAAGCUCUUUUGCCAGGGACGAUAAUGACGGUACCUGGAGAAUAAGCCCCGGCAAACUUCGUGCCAGCAGCCGCCGCCG
rnacentral:rRNA from 1 species